CUACGGGCUGCUGCAGUGAGGAAUAUUGCACAAUGGGGGGAACCCUGAUGCAGCAACGCCGCGUGGAGGAUGACGCAUUUCGGUGUGUAAACUCCUUUUAUAUGUCAAGAAAAUGACGGUAGCAUAUGAAUAAGCACCGGCUAACUCCGUGCCAGCAGCCGCGGUAAUACGGAGGGUGCAAGCGUUACUCGGAAUCACUGGGCGUAAAGGAUGCGUAGGCGGGUUGGAAAGUCAGGUGUGAAAUCCUACAGCUUAACUGUAGAACUGCACUUGAAACUUCUAAUCUAGAGUAUGGGAGGGGGAGAUGGGAUUAGUGGUGUAGGGGUAAAAUCCGUAGAUAUCACUAGGAAUACCUAAAGCGAAGGCGAUCUCCUGGAACAUUACUGACGCUAAGGCGUGAAAGCGUGGGGAGCAAACAGGAUUAGAUACCCCAGUAGUC
rnacentral:rRNA from 1 species